rnacentral:rRNA from 1 species
UACGUAGGGUGCGAGCGUUGUCCGGAAUUACUGGGCGUAAAGAGCUCGUAGGUGGUUUGUCGCGUUGUUCGUGAAAACUCACAGCUCAACUGUGGGCGUGCGGGCGAUACGGGCAGACUGGAGUACUGCAGGGGAGACUGGAAUUCCUGGUGUAGCGGUGAAAUGCGCAGAUAUCAGGAGGAACACCGGUGGCGAAGGCGGGUCUCUGGGCAACAACUGACGCUGAGGAGCGAAAGCGUGGGGAGCGAACAGG